CAGCGCCGCGGGAAUACAGAGGGUGCAAGCGUUAAUCGGAAUUACUGGGCGUAAAGCGCGCGUAGGUGGUUUGUUAAGUUGGAUGUGAAAUCCCCGGGCUCAACCUGGGAACUGCAUCCAAAACUGGCAAGCUAGAGUAUAGUAGAGGGUGGUGGAAUUUCCUGUGUAGCGGUGAAAUGCGUAGAUAUAGGAAGGAACACCAGUGGCGAAGGCGACCACCUGGACUGAUACUGACACUGAGGUGCGAAAGCGUGGGGAGCAAACAGGAUUAGAUACCCCUGUAGUCCCUGUCUCUUAUACA
rnacentral:rRNA from 1 species